CGCCAGCCCGCUCAGAAACUCAAAUGAAUUGACGGGGCCCGCACAAGCGGAGGAGCAUGUGGUUUAAUUCGAUGAUACGCGAGGAACCUUACCUGGGCUCGAACGUAAGAUGACUGUAGGUGAAAGCUUACAUCUCUUCGGAGCAUUUUACGAGGUGCUGCAUGGUUGUCGUCAGCUCGUGCCGUGAGGUGUCGGGUUAAGUCCCAUAACGAGCGCAACCCCUACCUUUAGUUGCCAUCAGGUUAAGCUGGGGACUCUAAAGGAACUGCCUACGCAAGUAGUGAGGAAGGCGGGGAUGACGUCAAAUCAGCACGGCCCUUACGUCCAGGGCUACACACGUGCUACAAUGGCCGAUACAGAGGGCAGCUACCUGGUGACAGGAUGCAAAUCUCCAAAGUCGGUCUCAGUUCGGAUCGGAGUCUGCAACCCGACUCCGUGAAGUUGGAUUCGCUAGUAAUCGCGCAUCAGCCAUGGCGCGGUGAAUACGUUCCCGGGCCUU
rnacentral:rRNA from 1 species